rnacentral:lncRNA from 1 species
CGCGACACUUCAGGAAUGGUGAUAUUAUUUAGCGAUGAUGCCUUUUACAAGUGAAAUCGCCUUAGACCAAUGAAACUCUCUGGUGACGACAAGUUGAUACCAAAAAAUUCACAAUUUUGACUGAUUUUCACUUUUGGAAUGUGUGCAAUCUUGUACCAAUCUUCUCCUUGUACCGGCUUGCAACGCUUAUCCAAUAUCGCACAUCCCAAGAUGUUCAAAGACUGGAGGUUCAUUCUCUCUAUACAAUCUGGCAGUGAGGCAAGAUUAUCACACUGUACGAUGUUCAGUUCCUUGAGAGACAUAAGUUCUCCUAACCACUCAGGCAAUAAAGUCAAACGUGGGAAUCUACGCACAGAAAGAGAUUGAAGAUUGUGGGCAUGCCGCAAAGCCUCAGGCAAUUGCCAAAAACCAAACUCCUCAGGGUGAAUAGCAGUGUCUUCCUUCAUGUGGAACAUUGGAAGGCCAUCAAGAUGAACCCAAUGAAGGGAAGAGGGGUUGCUAGUCGUGGCCAAUGAGGCCGUUGGUUCACCAACGGAGACAAUUGUUAUGUACCAAUAAUUGUACAUUGAAAAAAUAGAGAAAUGCUAAUGAGUUUAUAGGUUAAAUGGGUUCUCUUGCCUAUUAGAUUAGUCUUUUGGUUUGGGCUCUCCCGUUUGGUUUAUAACAUGUUAUGUAAUGCUAUUACACCGGUGUGUAGACGGGUAACGGCAGUAAGUCGAGCCUCGUGCCAUCACUUUUACCAUUUAUAUGCUCGUCAAACUAUUGGCUUUGGUAUUCAUUGUUGGACUAAAACAACUUAAAGAUACUUUUCGACGCACGAUAUGACAUUCUCCUUUAAGUCGAUUUUUUACGAUUUUUCUCGAAAGGUCAUCCAAUUAAGGUUAUUCAACGUCCAAUCAAAUCUAUUCUAAAGAUCGUUGAAAGGCUCAAUUUCAGCUCUAUUACUAAGAGCACUAGUUUGAAAGGCUCGUUCGAAUUGAUCCACUAUGAAAUUAACAAUUAUACACCUUUGCAAGUAACUUUUAUUUUUUUUUCAGUUUACCAAUAUAAAAACUUUAUUUGCACGUUUCACUCUUUUGCUUUCAGUUUACUUAAUACUUUUUAAUCAGAUCGUAUCGGAAAGUUAAUUAUGUAUCUCGACAGAUCCAAAAUUGGAAAAAGUGUAUCGGGUAGCAAAUUAUGUAUCUUUACAAGGAACAAAUGUAUCUGCGUUUGAUGUAUUUGUAUCUCGAUAGACCCAAAAUCGAAAAAAAAAAUGUAACGGAAGCUAAUUAUGCAAAGGAAAAAUACAUUUUCGUCGAAUGUAUCGGGAGCUAAUGAAUCUGUUGGAAGACCAAAACUUCAGAGAAAGCUACAAGUAUACAUUCUGAACCUUCAGGUUCUGCAGCUCCUGCACCAUUUGGACUAAUGGGCUACGCCUUGUCUCGAGGUCAGGCGACUAUAUACCGUCAUCUGUAGCACCAGUAGAUACGUGAAAGCCUGUAAAAUGGCUAACACCGCGUCCAAUAUUCACUACCAUAACCAAUGUUCAUAUCUUGUUUUUCCAAUGUAUCCACCAAAUACAGUCAUGCCUUUUGUAUAUUGGGAUCAACCUAAUGUGUUCGCGCCAGUUCAUUAUCGCUCUUCUUAUAGAUGUAUCGCACCUGGAAGUUGCAUUUCGGUACAGCCAUAUUCUUCUUAUUACAGUCCAAUGUGUCGUGAUCCUUUGAUUUCUGAAACUUUAGGCACUGAGAAGCAAAAUGGAGCAUCAAAUGAGGCUAUAAGGAAGUUCACUAGUAGUUCAACCAGUACAGAUUCAAGAGACAAGUAAACAGGAUUUCUGGAUUUCUACUUGUAAAAGGGAAGCCCGGUGCACUAAAGCGCCCGUUAUGCAAGGGGGCCGGGGAAGGUUCAACCUGCAACGGUCCAUUGUACGCAGCCUUACCCUGCAUUUCUGCAAGAGGCUGUUUCCACAGCUUGAAUCCGUGACCUCCUGGUCACAUGGCAACAACUUUACCCAAGGAGCAGAACAGUUGAAAGUCAUAUGAUAUAGACUUGACAUUAGACACAGGUUAUUGUGAUUAUGAUCAGUUGAGUCUUAACAAAAAGACGCAAAGCUAAACAUACCUGUAAUAUACAUAAAUAUUACGCGACACUUCAGGAAUGGUGAUAUUAUUUAGCGAUGAUGCCUUUUACAAGUGAAAUCGCCUUAGACCAAUGAAACUCUCUGGUGACGACAAGUUGAUACCAAAAAAUUCACAAUUUUGACUGAUUUUCACUUUUGGAAUGUGUGCAAUCUUGUACCAAUCUUCUCCUUGUACCGGCUUGCAACGCUUAUCCAAUAUCGCACAUCCCAAGAUGUUCAAAGACUGGAGGUUCAUUCUCUCUAUACAAUCUGGCAGUGAGGCAAGAUUAUCACACUGUACGAUGUUCAGUUCCUUGAGAGACAUAAGUUCUCCUAACCACUCAGGCAAUAAAG